AUUUUGGUAAGGAAGAAUAUGGACUGUCUGAUUAAGUCUCUAAGUCCAACAAGAGCACCGCAUAACGGGUGCCAUGCUCGGCUCGGCUGCGGGUGCAGUUUUGAAUAAAUGAAAGCUUGACACAAUUUUUUUUUUAAGAGGUCACAGUGACCUUGACCUUUGACCUAGUGACCCCAAAAUGGGUGUGGCGUGUAGAACUCAUCAAGGUGCAUCUA